CUUCCUUUCAAAUCUUCAGAAGACUUAAAGAAUUUCGACAGACUAUCAAACGAAGUAUAUGCCGAUGUUGUUCGAUAUCUUAGUCAUGUUGGUGGCUGGACAGCACGGAGUUGUGCCAACUCUAUAUUAAAGGAGUCCGCAAAUGAUGAAGUCUUUAUCGACUUUACUUUCACAAGAUAUAAAAGAAAAAA
rnacentral:lncRNA from 13 species